rnacentral:rRNA from 1 species
CAGCCAUCAUUUAAAGAAAGCGUAAUAGCUCACUGGUCGAGUCGGCCUGCGCGGAAGAUGUAACGGGGCUAAACCAUGCACCGAAGCUGCGGCAGCGACACUAUGUGUUGUUGGGUAGGGGAGCGUUCUGUAAGCCGUUGAAGGUGUGCUGUGAGGCAUGCUGGAGGUAUCAGAAGUGCGAAUGCUGACAUAAGUAACGAUAAAG